rnacentral:ncRNA from 1 species
GUCUAAGUAUACAUGGGCAGCACAGUGAAACUGCAAAUGGCUCAUUAAAUCAGUUAUGGUUCCUUUGGUUGCUCCCCUCCCUCUCCUUGGAUAACUGUGGUAAUUCUAGAGCUAAUACAUGCCGACAAGUGCCGACCUUCGGGGAUGCGUGCAUUUAUCAGUGUCCAGUUCUGGGUCUCACACUUCAAGAAAGACCUUGAGGUGCUGGACCGAGUCCAGAGAAGGGAAACGAAGGCGGUUAAGGGUCUGGAGGGUAAGUCUUAUGAG